rnacentral:lncRNA from 1 species
GCAACUUGAUUCUGAGAUGACUUGAGUAGUGUAUGGAUAGCAUUGCGACUUCGUGCAGACCCAACCCAAUUCCAAACAUAACUUCUUUAUUCUGUCGCUUUUAAGCUCAAAAUUCAGACACCUCUCUGUCGGAGCAUCUUCCAUUCCUGGGUUUUCGGAGAAACCAUUCUGGCCCUAACCCCUUCAAUCGGCUUUGCCUCGGUACUGUUUGAAGUCUUGCGUACCCUUUGCUGGAUCCUUUCCAUGAUUACCCUUCAAAACUUCCCCUUUGAUGGUGCUUCUUAGGAUGCCCCCAGCUUUGAUUGAUGCAGAGCAAAUGAAAGGAUGAAUGCAUUUUUCUUUGCCAAUUUUUAUU